CCAUCGGAUGUGCCCAGAUGGGAUUAGCUUGUUGGUGGGGUAACGGCUCACCAAGGCGACGAUCCCUAGCUGGUCUGAGAGGAUGACCAGCCACACUGGAACUGAGACACGGUCCAGACUCCUACGGGAGGCAGCAGUGGGGAAUAUUGCACAAUGGGCGCAAGCCUGAUGCAGCCAUGCCGCGUGUAUGAAGAAGGCCUUCGGGUUGUAAAGUACUUUCAGCGGGGAGGAAGGGAGUAAAGUUAAUACCUUUGCUCAUUGACGUUAUCCGCAGAAGAAGCACCGGCUAACUCCGUGCCAGCAGCCGCGGUAAUACGGAGGGUGCAAGCGUUAAUCGGAAUUACUGGGCGUAAAGCGCACGCAGGCGGUUUGUUAAGUCAGAUGUGAAAUCCCCGGGCUCAACCUGGGAACUGCAUCUGAUACUGGCAAGCUUGAGUCUCGUAG
rnacentral:rRNA from 1 species